CCUACGGGUGGCAGCAGUGGGGAAUAUUGCACAAUGGGGGAAACCCUGAUGCAGCGACGCAGCGUGAGUGAAGAAGUAUUUCGGUAUGUAAAGCUCUAUCAGCAGGGAAGAAGCAAGACGGUACCAGACUAAGAAGCCCCGGCUAACUACGUGCCAGCAGCCGCGGUAAUAUGUAGGGGGGAAGCGUUAUCCGGAAUUAGUGGGGUUAAAGGGUUCGGAGAUGGUAUGGGAAGUCAGAAGUGAAAGCCCAGGGGUUAACCCUGGGACUGCUUUGGAUACUGGUAGACUAGAGUGCUAGAGAGGUAAGUGGAAUUCCUAGUGGAGCGGUGAAAGGCGUAGAUAUUAGGAGGAACACCAGUGGCGAAGGCAGCUUACUGGACCGUAACUGACGUUGAGGCUCGAAAGCGUGGGGAGCAAACAGGAUUAGAUACCCCAGUAGUC
rnacentral:rRNA from 1 species